rnacentral:pre_miRNA from 1 species
AGUGAGAUAACUGGGUCAAAUGAUGGUUCCAUUCCUAAUUUUUUGAGUAAGCUCCAUACUGCUUUCCAGAGUGGUUGUACCAAUUUGCAGUCCCACUAGCAAU